ACACUUCGAAGAUAGGGAUCAGAAUGGUAUGGUGUUUAUGAGGGCGGCCACACCAUAGCAUACAGGGUGUAUAGCAGCAAUCCCUCCAGUGAUGUAUUUUUACUUUUGUCAUAAGCUCUCAGCUGUGCCUGCCUGUCAGGGACCAUGUCAUCUGAAGCAGGGCAGGCUAUAAGACACUUUCCGACCCCAGUGAACGGAAAUCAAUUGCUUUCCAUAGGAGAAAAAGGUCAACCCAGGACGCAACAGACCCAGAACAUUAUCAUCUGAGAGCCUCGGCAUGUCAUAUGAACGCAUUUUGUCCAUCCAAAGUUUGAGUGAGGUUGAGAACCCAUGGAAAAGCAUUACUCUGAACCGUUGCAUAGUGUUUGCCAUCAUCAUUGUGCUUGUGAGCUCAGGCGUGAAUGAAAUACAUGAUGCUCUGGAUGUACUUCUAGAGGAGAAUGAUCUUCCUCAGAUGUUCCUUGGAGGCACGGGUCUACAACCAGACGGCAUAGCUCAGCCUGCAGCCUCUCUGUGGGACAGCUUGCUGAGUUGGGGCUCAGACGAUGGAAGAAAAGGAAAUCCAAAGAGAAGAGGGGGAAUCUUGAGAAUCAGAAAUAGAGAUGUGUCUGACAAAGGGCUGUUAAAGGAAUGAUAGAGGGAAUACAUUAUGGAGAAUGGUAAAGGAGGGGAAAGAGGAGGAUAGUACAACAAAAAAGGAAAACAUUUUCUGAAGGACUAAUCAAAGUGUGUUUAUUAUGUUGAAAUAUAAGGAUAUAUUGUAGUUAAAAUGUUACUACUGUAAAAAAAAAAAAAAAAAAAGAUACAUUACAUCACAAUGAUCUUAAAUGCAC